AACAGGAUUAGAUACCCUGGUAGUCCAUGCCGUAAACGUUGGGCACUAGGUGUGGGGGACAUUCCACGUUUUCCGCGCCGUAGCUAACGCAUUAAGUGCCCCGCCUGGGGAGUACGGCCGCAAGGCUAAAACUCAAAGAAAUUGACGGGGGCCCGCACAAGCGGCGGAGCAUGCGGAUUAAUUCGAUGCAACGCGAAGAACCUUACCAAGGCUUGACAUAUACUGGACUGCGUCAGAGAUGGCGUUUCCCUUCGGGGCUGGUAUACAGGUGGUGCAUGGUUGUCGUCAGCUCGUGUCGUGAGAUGUUGGGUUAAGUCCCGCAACGAGCGCAACCCUCGUUCUAUGUUGCCAGCACGUGAUGGUGGGGACUCAUAGGAGACUGCCGGGGUCAACUCGGAGGAAGGUGGGGAUGACGUCAAAUCAUCAUGCCCCUUAUGUCUUGGGCUUCACGCAUGCUACAAUGGCCGGUACAGAGGGUUGCGAUACUGUGAGGUGGAGCUAAUCCCUAAAAGCCGGUCUCAGUUCGGAUUGGGGUCUGCAACUCGACCCCAUGAAGUCGGAGUCGCUAGUAAUCGCAGAUCAGCAACGCUGCGGUGAAUACGUUCCCGGGCCUUGUACACACCGCCCGUCAAGUCACGAAAGUUGGUAACACCCGAAGCCGGUGGCCUAACCCUGGUGGGGGGAGCCGUCGAAGGUGGGACUGGCGAUUGGGACUAAGUCGUAACAAGGUAACC
rnacentral:rRNA from 1 species